rnacentral:piRNA from 1 species
GUCCCUACCUACUAUCCAG